GCAGGUGAGGUUGCGGCUGUGACCUCCUUCCCGUGGACUCUCUCCUCCGAACAGAACAGAGCUGCCCCGCGUCUUUCAGCCCAGCUCUCCUGUUUUCUCAGCACCCCAGCGGGACAGAGCCUGCCAGAACCAAGUCGACCGUCCCUCCUCAGCAGAGACCAGACCUGCCCCUCGUCUCCCAGCCCUGCGCCUGGUGUGUUUUCUCAAUGCCUCAGUGGAACAAGAAAGGACCGAGCCUGCCAGAACCAAGCUCCCCUCUCAUGCCUUGCCUACCAUGGGUUCAACGAAUGGCAUUCAACGAGCAGAGAUACAGUGAAACUGUUGGCACCGUGAGCAGGAUCAGCAGGACAGGAGAGGCUUCCAGUGUGGCCACCUCCUGCUGGAAGCCUGGGAUGCUGGAAUCAGGCCACUUGCUGUCUGUCUCUACAUGACACUGGGCUGCACUCUUAAGAAGUUCCUGGAUCUCCCCAGGAUUCUGACCAUCAUGUGACCACAGAAAUUGUCGACUCUGUCUUCCAAAGAGAACAGAACUGCCCCUCGUCUUUCAGCCUGGCUCUCUUGUAAACACAUCCUCCGUGGGACAAGAAAGACAGAGCCUGCCAGAGCCGAGUUGACGUCCCUCCUCAGCAGAGACCAGACCUCCCCCUCAUCUCCCAGCCCUGCGUCUGGAGUGUUUUCUCAACACCUCAGUGGGACAAGAAAGGACCGAGCCUGCCAGAACCAAGGAUUUGGACGAGGAUGACCUGCCCCUCCCCCAUACUGGAUGACGACGCCCCCACCGGCCCAGUGCUCCACCAGGACCGGAGGCCGCCUUAAUGCCCGAUCCAGGGCCAGGUGAAGUUCCUGCAGCAGCCGCAGCUCCUCUGCCAGCUCUCCCAGAGGUCGUGGAGCCGCCACCUCCGCAGGCUCCAAUCCCGGUGGCAGAAGCCUCUGGCCAACACUUCCAGGAUCCGGCUCAGCCGAACCACCCAAGCUAUACCCGCCUCUCCCGUGAGUACUGACGGGAAGGGGAAAGGAGACACCGGAAUCAAACCGAGGCUGCUGGGUCUCAGAUGGUGAUUAAAUGCAGCCUUUGUGCCUCAAGCCUACCCCAAAAAUGUCAGAUGGGGGGGUACCAAGUGAUUCAUGAAUUUUUAUACAUCCCUGAAUGCCCAGUACCUUUGUUGGGAAGAGACUUGCUGUGUAAAUUGGGGGCAGAAGUGACCUUUCCCCCCAACAAAAGAGCUACUCUUCAAGUGGGCUCAACCACCUAUUUACUCUUUCUCUCGGUUGCACAAUCUCCCGGAAGGGAAACCAGAUGGGCUGAACGGUGUAGACAGAGAGUUAACAUAUUCUCUGAGGUCUGGGCAGAAGACAACCCAACUCCCCGCAGGCUUGCAAAACAAGUCCCAGUAGUAACAGAACUCAAACCUGGUACAAUUACGUCAGCACCCACUUUGGGCCUGCCAGACCUUGCUAAGCCGUUUCCUCUUUACGUGACUGAAAAGGACCAGGUGGCUAUGGGAAUGUUGUCCUAGACUAUGGGGAUGUGGGACAGACCCAUGGCUUAUCUCCCAAAAUGGCUGGACAAUGUUGCCACUGGGUGGCCAGGAUGCUUACAUGCAAUUGCUGUGGUUGACUUACUGGUCUGGGAGGCAAUCAAGCUGAAUUUGGGCCAAGAUUUUAUCCUAAAAGUCCCGCAUUAGGUCAACACUCUCCUGCGAGGGGACCCACACAAAUGGCUGUUGACAUCAGUCAUACACUGCCGAGGACAUCAAAAAGAGGAUACCCCCAGGCUCAGAGAAACAGACUGGCAGAUAAGACCACUAAACAAGCAGCCGAGGGCUUGGGGGUGACAAGUGAGUCCCCUAUUAAAGUUCUUGUAUUGGCAGAGCUGCCUGAGCUAACGCUGGGGUCUCCAAAAUACAGCGAAGCCUAAAACUAGCCAAAGCAGAAGGGGCCAUCAAGACUGAAAAGGGAUGGUGGGAAUUGCCAAGUGGCAAAUUAUUGGUACCGGAGGCGCUGGCACCCACUCUGGUAAGCAAAACACACCAAGCGACCCACCUAGGCUAUGAUAAACUGGAAGAGCUCAUUCGAAAAUAUUUCUUGGUUCCCCACCUCUCUUCCCUAUGUGGGAAAGAAUCUCAGAGCUGCACUGCCUGCUCCCAGGUCAGUGAUGCCUCUCGGCACAGACAGAAGCCUCCGGGGAUUCAGCCGAAAGGCACGCUGCCCUUUGAACACCUGGAAGUGGACUUGACUGAAAUGAAACCUCACCAACACUACUGUUACCUGCUGGUCAUGGUAUGUACGUUCUUGGGAUGGGUAGAAGCUUUUCCUACCUAGACUGAAAGAGCAUCAGAAGUAGCCCCGUGCCUGCUUAGGGAAAUAGUUCCCGGAUUUGGAUUUCCUACCAGAAUUGGAUCAGACAAUGGCCUGGAUUUCGUAGUUGAUUUAGUACAAGCAAGCAAAACUUUUAACAUCAAAUGGAAACUGCACACUGCAUAUAGGCCCAGAAUUCUGAGAUGGUGGAACGGACCAACCAGACACUUAAAGAGACUCUCCAAGUGGAUCAUAGAGACUGACUGCUCCUGGGUGGACUUGCUUCCGAUGGCUCUGCUCAGACUCAGGAUGACCCCGCGGUCCCAAGGCGAUUCUCCAUACGAAAUUGUGUAUGGGAGGCCCCCUCCCAUAAUAGAGGUGUCAACAAAUUUGCCUCAGGUAAGGGGGGAUAGGAUUUCGCAACAGAUGGAACUGGGUAAGGUAAUAAAUCAGGUAACUAAGUUUGUACAAGAAAGGGUGUCGUUUCCCCUUGGGGAACAGAUUCAUGAGUUGACGCCUUGUGGCCAAGUAUGGGUCAAAGAUUGGAAACAUGAUUCACUAGCCCCUCGGUGGAAGUGCCUAUACUGUUACUCUAACUACCCCUACUGCAGUUAAAGUUGCAGGUAUUGCCCCUUGGAGCCAUCAUACGAGGGUGAAGAAAGCUUACCACGCAGACCCAGAAAACACUGAGUGGACUGCACAGACGGACCCCACUGACCAUCGAGAGACCAAGAUCAUCCUUAAGAAGAAGAAGGAAAAGAAGAUCCCGGACGAGCCCCUUGAGGAUGAAGCCACAUAAUCAACUCCUGCUGCUUGGUCUCAUCAACGUGCACAUUCCUACGUGGACUUCCACAAUACUUCCAACUGUUGGGUGUGUGGGGCUAUGCCUUUGUCUGUGAUGGAUGGAGUUCCCUGGUGGGUGUCACCACUCUGCCAAGGAAAUUUUAAACCAUUCUGCUUUUUCUGGGACAAAAAAAAGAGACUUUCCUUUCUCUUGUCAAUCAUAAUUUCUCCCUGCUCUCUUGAUGUAAGCCAGACCUACAGUCAAUAGACUCAGGUCAUGGGGUUACAUAUUAUGUAAACACCAGUUUCAUAAAAGUAACAGAAGCAGUAAUUC